CUAAAACAGAAUGGGGAAAUCAUUUACAGUCACAAUCAAAAGGUAGAGGAAGACAUAACAAAAAGUCACAUAGUAUAACAUAAAUAUAAAAACAUGAGUAGAAGUGGAGAUGCUUUGUCUGUCUGCAAAUUGAUAUUCACAUGCAUCCUCUUCAACUUUCGGCAUAAUAAUCCUAUCAACAAAAGUUCAAAUCAAAGAAUAUAUGGGAAAUUACAAUGUGACGAUUCUUAGCAAAACAAAAUUAUGAAAAGAGAUUGAGCAAGUCAUCAUCAUGGAGAAAAUGGACACUCACUCAAUCCUUCUUCAUUGAUCCAUUGCUUCACCUCCUAAUUUGUUAGAAUCACCUCAAUGACAAAUGACGAUUCACCGUAAUUCU
rnacentral:lncRNA from 1 species